UGUGUACUCCCUCCGUUCCAAAAUACUUGACUUCCAUUUGUCCAAAAAUGUAUGUACCUAUAUACUAAAACAUGUCUAGAUACAUAUAUAUUUUGACAAAUAGAAGGCAUGUAUUGUGCAACGAAGGGAGUAGAAU
rfam:Triticum aestivum genome assembly, contig: Triticum_aestivum_CS42_TGACv1_scaffold_640827_T_7AS-0.155882_3B-0.094407